UAUGAAUGUGGUGAACCUGGUCAUUUUGCUCGAGAGUGCCGCCUGCGCAUUGGGUCAAGAGGUUUGGGAAGUGGGCGUCGCCGAAGCCCUAGCCCACGCCGCCGCAAGAGUCCAAGUUAUGGUUAUGGGCGCAGGAGUUAUAGCCCCCGUGGUAGAUCUCCAAGACGCCGCAGCCUAUCACCUCACCGUGGUCGCAGCUACAGCAGAUCCCCUCCAUACCGUCAUGCCCGUCGUGAUUCACCUUAUGCUAAUGGAGAUUAGGGCUGGAAGCUGAACUGAAGCAAGAGUGGAAGGACAUUAGAGGCAAUAUCUGCUAUACUGUAGUUCUUAUAGGAUCAGUUGAUGUUAGUUAUGUUCAUGUCAUGACAAUAAGGUUGCAAUUUAAAGUGUGAACG
rnacentral:misc_RNA from 1 species